rnacentral:tRNA from 1 species
GCCUGGGUGGCUCAGUUGGUUGAGUGUCUGACUUGGGCUCAGAUCAUGAUCUUGCGGUUUGUGGGUUGGAGCCCAGCAUCGGGCU